rnacentral:tRNA from 1 species
UCUAAUAUGGCAGAAUAGUGCAAUAGAUUUAAGCUCUAUAAAUAAAGAAUAUUUUAACUUUUAUUAGAA